rnacentral:sRNA from 1 species
GAAAGUAGUGAUGUUGUAGAGAAGAAGAAGAAGAAGAAGAAGCAGAAGAA